CUGUACCCCUACUCUCUACACCAGAUACAACUAAACCCCCUGUACCCCUACUCUCUACACCAGAUACAACUAAACCCCCUGUACCCUCUACACAGGAUACAACUAAACCCCCUGUACCCCUACUCUCUACACCAGAUACAACUAAACCCCCUGUACCCUCUACACCAGAUACAACUAAACCCCCUGUACCCCUACUCUCUACACCAGAUACAACUAAACCCCCUGUACCCCUACUCCCUUCACCGGCUACAACUAAGCUCACCUAAACCUACACUUUGUACCCCCCCUACCCUCUACACUCUAUUGCCCUACACCACUAUCCUGCCCCUGAGAAGGAGAGUAGAGGACACAAGAGCGAGAGGAAGAUGGCAAGGAGGAUGAGGAGGUCACAUAUCUUUGUGCUCCAUCUGACAGAUUGAGAUUUUGUUUUUCAUGAAAGAAAUGCGAAGUAAUAUACAGUGGGGAGAACUAGUAUUUGAUAACCUGCAGAAUCGGCCGUGUUUCGUAUUUACGAAGCAUGUAGAGGUCUGUAAUUUUUUUAUCAUAGGAACACUUUAACUGUAUAUAUAAUAAUAUAAAUAAAAUGCUAAUUAAUUACUUAAAAAUCAUACAAUGUGAUUUUCUGGAUUUUUGGAUUUAGAUUCCGUCUCUCACAGUUGAAGUGUACCUAUGAUAAACAUUACAGACCUCUACAUGCUUUGUAAGUAGGAAAACCUGCAAAAUCGGCAGUGUAUCAAAUACUUGUUCUCCCCACUGUGUGUGUGUGUGUAUGUAUGUAUGUAUGUAUAUAAGUAAGGGAUAAGGUACUGUAGAAGUAAGGAAUGAAGAUGCCGAAGUUCUGCGCAUUACCUUGGGAAAAAUGGAGGACAAGGCAGAGCCGAGUCUCUUUGCGGAGGUCAUUUUUCUAAGAUAGUGUACAGAACGUCGGCGUCUAUCCCGCUUAUACCACAGUUACCAAAGAGAACAAUACUAAAGCACACAUUUAUCGGUAGGAAAAACAUUUUUUGUCAAUUAUUUUUUUAUAAGACAAUUCAUGCUUUCUCAUCUUUUGGUUGCUAGAGACGUGACCCAGUCGUCCGUUCAAUACUGUCCUUCUUAUCUCUUACUUGUUAACUAGCCAACUAGCUAGGGCUAACACAGUCACGACGUCGGCAGCCAGAGUAACAGCAAAGUAGCUGGAUUUUUGUUUAAGCUGUUUUCUAGUGACAUUCAUUUAGAUAAUGAGCUAAUGAUCCCCCCCCCCCAAAAAAAAAAAAAAAAAAUCCUGGCAUAGUGCCUUCUCAUCAUUACGAGGAGAUCACAUUGCAUAUCAAACACUAACGCUAGGCUAGACGCUAAGUAGCUAAAUAGUUUGUUGCUAGCAAACCUGCUAAUAUGACAACCUAAUUCAAACAUAUCAAUUACUGAAAACAGCUGGACAAACUCGAAAUGUCACGUGGCAGGAUUUGAAAGCAUAGCGCCCAUUUGCGUUACGACUACCGACAGUAAGGGGACCGGAGAAAUCCAUGUUCAUCACACACCACGUUGGGUCGUCAGAUACUCCAAAAGAAAAUGUUCGAAAGCAACAACAACAAAAAAGCUAAAUCAAUUGCUACCUAGAUAGACCUGCGUUUGGGUGGUUGUUGGUUUAGCUUUCUGUAACUUUGUAGUGUGGGCUGCAUGUGUGUCGGUGCUUAUUGCGUUAUGAUUACAAAGUGAGCCCCGUUAUCUUUCCCAACUGUCCCAUUUAUAUCUGGGUUUUAAUGUCCAGUCUAGAUUGUCCUUCUAGCUAAUCAGAAACGAGUAUUCAACAAUGCUGUGGUAUAAUUUAAAGUAAUGCUUUACUUUUGUUUAAACUGAUCCCCAACACCGCUAAACACACAGCAACAACUUGUCUGAGACAUUUCUGGUCUGUUCAUCUCUUAGAAGGGUUUUAAUAUCUGUUUCCACCUUGUAUGUGUGGGUUGGAGUUUUUUUUUUAACUUGUUUCUGACUCAGAAAGCAGGAAGUAGAUCCUUCAAAGCAGGAAGUAGAUCCUUCAAAGCAGGAAGUAGAUCCUUCAAAGCAGGAAGUAGAUCCUUCAAAGCAGGAAGUAGAUCCUUCAAAGCAGGAAGUUAAAUGUGAAAUUAUUGCUUUUUAAUGAAAAUUCCACUAUAUUUUGGACAAUCAUGGCAGGCAUCUGAGGCAGAGCUGUGUCCUUUGUACCUCACCGACAAUACUUGGUCUUCUGUGUUGUUGUUAUUUGUGAACUCAGGUUCCCGUUUUAUCUAAUAUUAGGUUGUGGUUGAAGAUCUGAUAACAUUCGGUAUCAAAAAAUAUGCAAAAAUAGAGAAAAUCGGAAGCUACUUUUUCACGGCAUGGUAUUCCAAACUUUACACUUACAUCGCUCGAAUAUCGAGAAGAUUCAAAUACUGCUCGUUUUUUUUUCUCCCCUGAAACUUGACUUUUUUUUCGUCCUCAUGCUAAGCUAGCAGUAGCCACAGUAUCUUCUGGUAAAUUACACCUACUUAUACUUUUAUUGUGGACACAAUAUAGUGUGGACAGUAGAAUGAUUUUCAUUCAUUUCUCUGAGGACAACAUCUUCAUUUAACUCCAUGUCAUCAGGCGGAUGCUGUCCCUCUUCCUCUACUUUCUCCUCCUCUUCCUCACUUCUUCCACUCCUCUGCUCUGGCUCUCUGUGUGUUUUCUCUCCAAUACUACUACUACCACCACUACUACAACCUCAACGCGCACACGUGUGUGUGUGUGUGUGUGUGUGUGUGUACACACUACAGUGUGUGUGUGUUAGUGUACUCCAAAUGCCUCCCUCUCUGAACCUGGUACUACCACAAAUCUAUUUUUAACUGCUUGUGUUUUAGUUUUCAUAUUUUCUGCAAGGAAGUAAUGUUAAAUGUAACUGGUGUAUGUAUGUAUGUUAGGAUUUUAUUAAGUUGUCUAUUUUGAGUUUCGCAAAACAACCGUUUUUUUUGUUUUUCUUUCUCUCGAUUAUUUGAGUUUUUAUUGAUGUUGUCGGAGAAGGGAGGAUAAGAUUUCAAGAUAUCCAAAGUAGUGGUCGUCUGUUGGCCCACAGAUCUGUAUGUAGUCCGACUCUGCAACUGAAUAGGAGAACACGGGAUGUGUCCCAAAAAUGGAAUCAUAUUCCCGAAGUAGUGCACUACUUUUGGCCUGAGUCCAAUGGGUCCUGAUCAAAAAGUAGUGCACUACAUAGGGAUUAAGGUGCUAUUUGGGAUGUGCACUUUAAAAAUAAAAAUAAAACACCGUCAGUAGUCUUCUCUUCUUUCCAGUAACUUUCCCCAAAAUCCUCUGGUUUUCCAAAUAAUUCAGGGAUUCUAGGAAUUUCAGGGUAAAGUUACUGGAAUUUUGCAACACUUAGCCCCUCCCACUAGCACUCCGUUACUCCUUAGACUCUAGCCAAUCGUCUUUGAGCAGUGUGGUGGUUGUAUGUAAGCGUGAUGUAAUGCGAUGAUGAAUCUCCGUGUGUUUUUAGAUGUAUUUUGUUGUUCGACCUCGUUUUACCUCGUGUUUUGGGAGGCUGUGGUAUUUACUCACACCUUUUCAGUGGCAAUCUAAACAUUUUUAUCUACUUGUCAUUUUUAUUUUGUCAUAGCCUGAGUGCCGGUCUGUUUAUGCGAUCAUACCAUCUCCUUGUAAUGGAUAAGGACAUUUUAAUGGUGGCAAGAGAAAACAGGUCUGGGACCAGGCUAACUGGCAACCAACAGGUCUGGGACCAGGCUAACUGGCAACAAACAGGUCUGGGACCAGGCUAACUGGCAACAAACAGGUCUGGGACCAGGCUAACUGGCAACAAACAGGUCUGGGACCAGGCUAACUGGCAACAAACAGGUCUGGGACCAGGCUAACUGGCAACAAACAGGUCUGGGACCAGGCUAACUGGCAACAAACAGGUCUGGGACCAGGCUAACUGGAAAGAACAAACAGGUCUGGGACCAGGCUAACUGGAAAGAACAAACAGGUCUGGGACCAGGCUAACUGGAAAGAACAAACAGGUCUGGGACCAGGCUAACUGGCAACAAACAGGUCUGGGACCAGGCUUACUGGCAACAAACAGGUCUGGGACCAGGCUAACUGGCAACAAUCAGGUCUGGGACCAGGCUAACUGGCAACAAUCAGGUCUGGGACCAGGCUAACUGGCAACAAUCAGGUCUGGGACCAGGCUAACUGGCAACAAUCAGGUCUGGGACCAGGCUAACUGGCAACAAUCAGGUCUGGGACCAGGCUAACUGGCAACAAACAGGUCUGGGACCAGGCUAACUGGCAACAAUCAGGUCUGGGACCAGGCUAACUGGCAACAAUCAGGUCUGGGACCAGGCUAACUGGCAACAAUCAGGUCUGGGACCAGGCUAACUGGCAACAAACAGGUCUGGGACCAGGCUAACUGGCAACAAACAGGUCUGGGACCAGGCUAACUGGCAACAAACAGGUCUGGGACCAGGCUAACUGGCAACAAUCAGGUCUGGGACCAGGCUAACUGGCAACAAACAGGUCUGGGACCAGGCUAACUGGAAAGAACAAACAAAUCUGGGACCAGGCUAACUGGCAAGAGAAAACAGGUCUGGGACCAGGCUCGUUUUUUUACACUCCAGUCUGUCUGAGAGCAUCUUCCUUUGUAUUCCCUCCUUUCUUUUCGUUUAUUUCUAAGAAGAUUCUAUUAUCAAGUGAGACAUUUUUUUUAUUUUUAAAUUUGUUGUAGUUGUUCUUCAAUGUCCCGCCCACUGCAGUCUCAUUUUGAUUUGAUUGGUUGUAUUACGACGGAGAUGUGGUUGUCCCACCUAGCUUAUCGUAACAUGAAUGCACUAACUUGUAAAUCGCUCUGGAUAAGAAUAUCUGUUAUCAUGAUGACGUUGACAAAUGAAAUGCUAUUUCUGGGACUUCUUUCUCCUCUGCGAUAUUAAACAUGCAACUUGUCUGAGUGAAUGCAAUGUGUAUACAAUAAUAAGUUAUUCCGGAUCAAGAAAAAAACAUUAUUUUAGAAACUUACAAAAAAAAAAAAGUUUGUGCGAAAUAUAACGAUAAAAUUAUAAUGACACAUUUAUUUGUAUUUAUUAAAUUUUUGUUCUCUUUUUAAUAAAUGAAUGUCGUUUUUUUUUGUUUUUUUUUAACUAGGCAAGUCAGUUAAGAACAAAUUGUUAUUUACAAUGACGGCCUACACUGGCCAAAACCGUAACCCGGACGACGCUGGACCAAUUGUGCACCGCCCUAUGGGUCUCCCAAUCACGGCCGUUAGUUAAGUUUAAAUGGUAUGUAAAACUAGGUGUGGCCAUUUUGAAUGAAUGGUUGAGAUCUCCUGUACGUUUAGUGGAAGCACGUAGAAGUUAGGAGUUUUAUGUUUUAGCAUGGUCAUCUACUGUGUCUGAAAGAGAGAAUGAAGGUCAUUUAUCAGAUGUGCUGUUGUAAAAAAAUAAAUGUUUGAUGCUUA